CUCUUGGAAGCGGGUGGUAAUGCUGGAUGCUCCAACUUGACGCAUGUUCUUGUUGGGAAAGUGUUUAGUGGCAUGGGAUGGGGUCGCGUCCUAUCAGCUUGUAGGCGGGUAAUGGCCCACCUAGGCUUCGACGGGUAGCCGGCCUGAGAGGGCGGACGGCCACAUUGGGACUGAGAUACGGCCCAGACUCCUACGGGAGGCAGCAGAC
rnacentral:rRNA from 1 species